UCCCUGGUGGCUCAGUCGGUAAAGAGUCUGCCUGCAAUGCAGGAGACCCAAGUUCAAUCCCUGGCUCAGGAA
rfam:TPA: Bos taurus chromosome 21, whole genome shotgun sequence.